CACGGGGGGAGCAAGCGUUGUUCGGAAUCACUGGGCGUAAAGGGCGUGUAGGCGGUCAGGUAAGUGAGAUGUGAAAUGCCCCGGCUCACCCGGGGACCGGCAUCUCAUACUGCUUGGCUUGAGUACGGGAGAGGAUGUGGGAAUUCCUGGUGUAGCGGUGAAAUGCGUAGAUAUCUGGAGGAAUACCGGUGGCGAAGGCGGCAUCCUGGACCGACAUUGACGCUGAACGGCGAAAGCUAGGGGAGCAAACGGG
rnacentral:rRNA from 1 species